UAUGGCAUCUGCUGACAGAGGUGCUGUUUACCUUCUCGUUGUAUUUAUAUGACACAAAAUACCAAAUGGUAUUUUAUCUCCAAUCACACACUCUUUCACACCAACAUAAAUUACACACAAACAAAGACACAAAACAUAAAACAUCUGGCCAGGUUUAUAGUCAGUCAAAAUUUCAUCUGUCCUCAUUAUUUUAUCAAAGUUUUACUGUAAUUUUAUCAAAUUUUACUGAAAUUUAUAUCAAAUUUACUGAAGCUUCAGAAAUUGUCCAAUGUUUUAUUAACCUAUUUUAAUGUGUCAAUUUAAUUAAUUUUAAACUCCAAUCUUCAGGAGCCUUUUCAAAUCCCGUGCACGUUUAAAAGAGACAUGUCAAACCUAUGUUAAAAUUUAACAGCAACCAAUAAUUUCCCGUUAUCUGGUCCCAGUUUAAUUUACUUAACUCUUAUCCAGGAUGUUGCGGAAGUAAGGCAGCGUUCGGAGUUUGUCGCGGCGUCAGGUCCGGCAACGCACCAUCUCGUGCAGCAACCGGUGUAUAAUGAGGACACUGCCGAACCCAGUGGCCAUCUUCACCACAAUAAAAACACCUAUCACUGCGUCUCCCGCCUCGUGCACCUCUUCCUCGCACACCCGACCAUGCGGGGGCUCCUCUUCUUCCCCCGCGCCAGCCUAGAACACCAGGCUGGCAGGUCGGAGCAGCAUAGAUGUGCGGACCAGAUUGCGUCACCGCAACAGGGACCCCAGCCAGAACCGGAAUUAAUUGAGCAGCAUCUGUUAGCAUAGUUUGAGCCUCCCUCUGUUUCUGUCUUGCAAGACGAAGCUUCUGUCUAGCUUCACCUAAUUGAAGCUGUAGUAAUUGUGUCUUAAAAUUUACUUGCUCCAUCUCCGCCUGAGGGGGAGAAGCUAAAGCAAGUGUGGGGCAGCUUAAUCGGUGUGUAAUAUGAGCAAUACCUGGGGAAACCGCAGAAGGAGGCAGAGAAACACAAGGUUUUCCACGCAGGUCCUGAGCUGCCAUAGGAAAACUACCAGCACUGAUAAGGUCCUCCUGUUUGCGGACCGCAUUUUCCAAUUCAUCGGCCUUCACAUUAAGCGAAUCCAGACCAAGCUGUUGAUCAUAUAUAUUAAUUAAGUCAGCAAUCUGGUCCCGCAGACUUAUCCGCGGAGCCAGAUUACCUGGACGGUCUAUAGCAUCGUUUGUCAACUCAGUGUCCAUAAUAACUGCACAAUAAAACGCAGCAAAAGCAACGCACAUUCACGCAAACAGCGCUUUUCAAACACAGCGUUCCGUACAGAGCCAGUAACGCAUACACACGCACAGACACACACAGAGACACACAUACACACCCAGAGCUCUGGAGAACAAACAGCGCACUUCCACGGCAGCCGGCAUAGAAAUCAGCACACACAAAGAAAUACAGGGAACACAAACACGGUUUCAGACGAACGUAAAAGACAGACGGGGAAAAAAUAAAAAUAAAAUGCCGGC